CUACGUGCCAGCAGCCGCGGUAAUACGGAAGGUCCAGGCGUUAUCCGGAUUUAUUGGGUUUAAAGGGAGCGUAGGCUGGAGAUUAAGUGUGUUGUGAAAUGUAGACGCCCAACGUCUGAAUUGCAGCGCAUACUGGUUUCCUUGAGUACGCACAACGUUGGCGGAAUUCGUCGUGUAGCGGUGAAAUGCUUAGAUAUGACGAAGAACUCCGAUUGCGAAGGCAGCUGACGGGAGCGCAACUGACGCUUAAGCUCGAAGGUGCGGGUAUCAAACAGGAUUAGAUACCCUGGUAGUCCGCACAGUAAACGAUGGAUGCCCGCUGUUGGUACCUGGUAUCAGCGGCUAAGCGAAAGCAUUAAGCAUCCCACCUGGGGAGUACGCCGGCAACGGUGAAACUCAAAGGAAUUGACGGGGGCCCGCACAAGCGGAGGAACAUGUGGUUUAAUUCGAAGCAACGCGAAGAACCUUACCAGGUCUUGACAUCCCUCUGACCGCUCUAGAGAUAG
rnacentral:rRNA from 1 species